AUGUUCCAGGAGCUUGCACCACACGACCUACAUGACAAGUGUAGUCACCACUACGCGAUCUGCCUUGACCUGAAGAAACAACGUUUUGAGGUGCUUGAUUCAAUGCGUUCGGCAGCUGAUGCAGACCUUACUACGCAUGAUGAAUACUUCAUCAACAACCUCAAAGAGACAUGGAACCGUCACUAUGAACACUCAAAGGACUGUGGCUUUCACACGUUGGAAUACCUUGCAAAGUGGGAAGGUAGACUAGUUCCUGUCGUCACAGCUGCAAUGGCCAUUGAGCUCCACACAAUUUACACAUGGAACUGGUUGACGAAUGAAGAUUUCAACACGCGGUCCAACGCACGUGAGUUCAUAGAGGAAGCUGUCAAGAAAGUCACCAAGACGUACAAGUGA
rnacentral:rRNA from 1 species